CUUAGUUAGGUUUAGGCAGCACAACUACUUAGUUAGGUUUAGAAAACACGGUUUGGGUUAAAAUAACUCCGGAAGUGGCGUAACUUAAGUAGCGAAGUUACAUGACAAAUCAACGUUGACUUCAGGUUUCACGUGGGGUACAAACACCGGCCUAUUGGGGAAAUUCCUGUGAUUUUUGACCCACCCAUCCACCCCGUUCCCUCCCUGCGCGGCAGUUGUCGCUCUUUAUACUUCGUGGUUCACAAUUACGUGGAUUACAUACAAAUUGAUCUUGUGGGAUAUAUAUAUACGAAUUACAGUGCAUUACUUUUCGUAGGUAUAGCUACGAAGGGUGUAUGAGAACAGCCUCAUGUAGUAUAAGCUGACCAAAUGUCUGUUUCUGUCCCGUAGGUGGCCAUAAAGCGUAUCCGCCGGUUUCUUUGCACAACAGUGGAUCUGGAAGGGGAAAUUACAGCGAUCCCUAUAGAGGUGGCGCUGCUGCUGCACCUCAAACCAGCAGCAGCAGGAACCAGUGCCGUGGUGAGCCUGCUGGACUGGUACAAUCUGGACAAUGAGCUGAUUCUCGUCCUAUAGAGACCUGUCCCCUGCAUGGAUCUCUAUGACUAUUUGGUGUCCAUACAGUUAUCAAUACAGGAGGACAUGGGCCGGAUCAUAACAAAACAACUGGUGGAAGGUCUCCAAGAGGUCCACUCCAGAGGUGUUUUCCACAGGGACAUCAAGAUGGAAAACAGAGAUGCUGCAUGAUGGGCAAACCCCGUGAGAUCAUCAAAGCAGUCCCUGACAUCUGUGACACUCUUUCCUACAAUUGCCAAGAUUUUCUAGCGCGCUGUAUGGACAAGAGCCCAGAGGCCCGACCCACCCUGGAGACUCUUAAGCACCACCCCUGGCUCGUGUGAUCUGUGGUCCUGAGGGAUCCAGUCUGAUGUGAUACAGAUUGGACCUCUCGGACCACGGAUGGAUCCCUGAAGACCACGGAAGGACCCCUCAAGACCAUGGAAGGACCCCUCAGGAUCACGGAAGGACCUCGUCCAGGGUUAACGCUGCUGUAGUCCCCAUAUGUGGCUCCCAUUGCACUCUCUCUUGAAGCAGUAGAAAUCAGACCGAGAGGCUGGUGGCGUCGAUCUCUUGUAGGGAUGUGACGGGGAGGAAAAUUUCUUGUGACAACAUGGGUGUUACCGAUUACACCGGAGAUUUUACAGGAAAAGAUGACGGUCAUUAUGUGUAGCCGCUUACUAUGAUCUUUACCUUCAGGUGGCUGAGUGACUAGCCUCUCCGGUAGAACUUUUGCUGCGGAGCCGCUGGGGCGACCCGGCGCCGCUCCGCCGCGCACACCAGCUGUGACCGCUCCGUCCUCCUCUUAGCAUUGGGUUUAAAUCUGAAAUUUAAACCGCGUUUGCUUUCCUCUGCCAUCUCUCGGUCUUUCAACUCUCUCCUGUCCCGUGUGUGUGAAAUCUGACUCCUGCUACUCUGUGCUGAAAAUCUGUAUGGAGCAGAUGCAUCGAUCGUCCGACUAUCUAUUGACAACCUGCCGCUGCAGGUGUGGGUGGCGGGUAUGUAAUGUAAUGUGCCCGACCACCGUGUAACACUGGUAAAACGGACUACCGCGACAAGCCAUAGUGAUUAUAGGCCUACGUUCAUGCUUCAAACACCCAGCUGUCCGUGGAGAGGGGAUCUCUCUUUGAAUUGCCUUUUCCGAGGUUUCUUACCGAGUUUUUCCUCGUUUUCUUAGAGCUGGAGCUGGGUUGAGAGUGCACGGGAUAAUGUACAGCGAGCCGGUCAUUGUUGUCCCGCUAGCUGUACAUUAUCCCGCUUAUUACACGGCUACUUACUUAAGAAAUCACUAAUUUGAGACAAAAAUGGUCCUCCAGAGUCCGACAUC